GGUGGUCACAAUUUAAACCAGUAAACUAUUUCAUCUACAAAACAAAUGUUAUUAAUGGUUUUGUGGAGGAAAUGUUUAAGAUUAAGAAAAUUGACUUCAUGCGGAAAGACUGAACAUGAAAUAGACACAUUUUGUCAAAAGAUUUGUGACUUUUAUAAAAGGUGAACAUGAACUUAUUUACAGGCAGGGUAUGACAUCACACGGUCACAAUCCUCAGUCUGCUGUGUAUAACACAGCAUGUGGUUGUAUUUUUGUCUUUUCAGAUGCUGUUUGCACUCUGUCAGGUCGUCAUACAGCUCCCAGACACUCUCCUGCAGUAUGCGGCAUUACGCCCCAGGCCAUCUUUGGUCAUGCUUCCCUUGAAAGCAAUGACUGAUCUGAAAGUGAAGGUCUUUCCUUGGAGAACUAUAGUGGAUGGAAAUUCACUCAAGGGAAUUGCAGUUUGGUUAGCAAGGUCAGUMUCAAUCCAUGCUAUAUCGCCAAUGCUGUAGCUGUGGGUGACUCUGCCUGCACAGAGCACAUUUCUUGAGGUCCUGUCUUCUGUCUUCAGCUCUGAUGGACACAGAGAUUCAUUCUGGAGUGGCCUGAGGCAUGGAGACAGAGGAAGGGAGAGUCCUUUUUCCACAGCGGUGUCGAGCUGAGCCAUACCAGAAUCCCUAAGGACAGAAAUGGCUGGAGAAACAAGUGGUUCUUCMCUUGUCAUAUUUAUGUGCACUUUGCACUUUGCACUGGGCAUCAAUGUGGAGAGCACCAGUCUUCACUGCACUGCUUCAAACAGUGAACUAAGCAGCUCGGCCCUUCCAUUUUGAAAUGCAGAGCUGUCAYAGAAAGCACAGCAUAAGCACUGAAAAAAAUGCAUCAAACGCACAGUCCCAAAAGAUGAAUCUGCAUGGAGCCUUUCAGUGCAAGGAGAGAGGUAGGAAGUGCUCUUCCUUUUUUUGGGUGGAAGAAUUAGGCCUCUCCAGUUUUCCACCUAAUCUUCAGCUGUUGGAGGAAUGCUUGUGGCAGCAUCAGAUUCCACAUGAGGGUGAGCAUCCAUUUUUAUCUUGCCUUCAUCACUGUGGGCAGUCAUUGUUGCUGGAUUGGCUUCUGUGACUGUUGCUGAUCCCAAUGUUGCCUCGUUGUUUUUUUCAUGUGCUGAAGCAAUCCGCAUGUUUCCCUCAAUGAAGGAAAGAUGAUGAGCAAUGAAGGCAUCAACUCGAACAGGCAAGUUAUCAUGUUUGAAAAGGCCAUGUUUGAUAUUUUUGAAUUCAGCUUCGACAGUGGCUGAGCUUGCUGUGAUGCUGGUGCUGUGGAACAGAGGGACCAUUAUUCCUGUCCAGAGUGGUAARUAACUUGCAAGUCUUAUUAUAUUGGGAAUGAUCUCAGGGAGGAAGUGGAUAUUGUCUCUGUCCCCAUUAGCUGCAGCAAGUGACCUGCUCUCCUCACAUAUUUUUGYCACCCAGUGUCGUAGGUCAGUUUGGAUCUCGUYACAUGGAUCCACUUGAUCCAUUUCCUCUGUCACUUCAUCUGGAAUGAUGAUGGAGCCUGCUGCUAUUUGACCUUUCAGGUACUUCUUGCAUCUUUCUGAUGCAAGACGAGCUGCAGAACUGUCGUCACCAUCUGCUUCACUGAGGACCACAACAAAGAUGGCACUUAAGAGCUGUUUUGCAUGGUCCAAGCAUUGU